UUUUAACAUAAACUAGUAAUCCUUUUAUUGAUUGAACUUGAGUAACAACAUACUUCAGCAAAGGCUUCUGAUUGAAUCGGACCGGGUCUUUCACUUUUCACUUUUAAAGUUACGAUGUCAGUAUGGGAUAAAGCAAUUUAAUCCUAGGACAAGUUUCAAUUUCUGCUUCUGAUAUAUAGCAGUGGCUUUGCUCAUUCGGUUGCUUUGCCUUUGCGCCUGCUACUGCCAGUUUCCAAUAGGUAACGAACCAUUGCAUCCACAUCAUCGCCAAAUAUGCUGUACGCCUCGAUCACUCGCCGAUAGCGGAAUCCCAUUGACAGAACCAUCUGCACACUACUGCUCAGAACAGUGUCCUGCAAACUCUGUUCUCUCACCUUGGUCUCACUGCCUGACGAUCCUGUUUUUCAAGUUCAUACUUAUUAUCAAUGAUACAAUACAUGAGUUCGACUCUCCCCCAUGUAGGUUAAAAAAACAAAAUGAACACUUUGUAGACAGUGGGCCAAAAGACACAAGGAUAAAAAACCGAGGUCAGCUCCACGUUAUUUGCCAACAGUUUCAUUGUUUUUAGAUUGAUUUCUUUGGAACUGUGUCCAAUAUAAUUAAUCCGAGUACUUACUAGCUCCAGAUGAUGAUGGUUCAGCACCAGACGUAGAAGAUUCUUUGUAGCCAAGUUGCUGCUUCAAUUUGUCACUGGCAAGAUACUCUGCUCGAGAGGCCUCCAUCACCAUACGUUCAAUCUCCUUCUCAGUAAGCUCAAGAUCCGAGUAAAACUGCACUUCCGCUAAAAGUGCCUGCCAGUAUGAAAUAUCAGGAAGAAACCAAGAUCUAAUUAGAAACCCAACAAGCCAAAAAAAUUGAUAAAUAGCAACAAAAUAAAAAUACUUGCAUUAUCAAUCUGCUGAUCUUGUUGAGCUUUAAUUGCAGCCUUCACCUGAUCCCUGUCCACAUUUGUCCCUCGAAGACAGCUGAAACCAAGUCCUGCACCAAUUGUCAGUUGCCGUGGGUCAACGAGAGAGUUAUAAUGAUUACCAUGAUGAUAACUCAGCCUUAUGGGUGGUGUGUCCGUGUUAUAGCCCCCAUGAAAUAUGUUGAUAGGUUCUAUAAAAAUUAUUUUAAUCAGUGAGACAGGCGUAGCAAAUGGCAGUUGAUUUGACAAAUAAAAACCUGCAUUUCUACAAAACAAACCACUACCUGUGCUGUAGGAGUAAAUAUGUAUUGGCCGGUUAUACAUUUCUGAUAAAGCUUGGAUCUCCAUAUUGUUCCCAUAGACCUGCCAAUUGAGAUGAAUAAGUUAUGGAUAUUCAAACCCACAUUAUCAAGGUAAUGAGCCUCAAAACAUGCCAAGGUCAAUGGACUGAUCAGCUUAUCAAUAGAAUAAUAUAAAUGAAAGGGUUCAAGCAAUCCAUAGGGGGGAAAACGUGCUCAAGCAUUGAAUGCUAUAAGGAAUAAUGAAAGAGACGGCACGACCAAAAAAUUCCACAAGUUAAUUGUCGUUAACCUGUAAAGGAAACAGCAAGACAAUAGACAAAUAAUUUGCUGCAACUAAAAUGCAUUCUGGAAAACAAUUGCUUGCCCUUCCAAUUUUCCCUUUUUAGGCAGAGCUAAACUAAUAACCUCAGAUAUAGAUGGCCUACCAGAAUUCUGCAAACCACCAUCCUUAUCCUAAUGCAUACAUAUAUGGCUUUAACAAAUUAGGAAUCAUAUAUGUUAGUUCUGAAGAUAAUAUAUGAUUGGUAAAAAAAAAAAUUAAGGUGCAGUACAUUUAUACAGCACUGGAUACUGAAGGAAGGAAUGAGUGAAAAGUCAACCUGGAUACUGGAUUCAUACCUUAUCUCUUCUCUUCCUCUUACAGUAAGAUGUAAAACCUUCUGUUAUGAACUGAGAAAAAUGGUCCCUCUCUCGUUCCUGAAUGAUAAAAAACAGAUCAGAAUAAUCCAACACCUCACCAACAAUAUCCAUUCAUGCAUGGAGAUAAGAAAUCCCAUAAAUGCCAUUUUAUGCCGCUAAUGUAAUAGAUUAUGUUGGAGAAUAUUAAAGAGCAUCAAAAUACAGCAUAAAAUUAGCCUUUACCAAACAUUAUGGAAACCAGAUCAUCAAUAUCAAAAACUCCCAGGAAUUAUGCAAAUUUCAUAAAGAAAUCCAAUUAUCUCAUGCAAUUAUUCAGACAAUUGACAAGAACACAGCAGAUAGCAUGAAAGUUGGUUUCCAAUAAAUAACAAAUAUAGCAACCUAAAAAAAGAGGGAAAAUUUCAAUGAGAAGUGCCUUGCAAAUAAAUAAAGAUUCAAUGAGAAGGUCAACACAUAAUACCAUAUUUCACUCUUGAUUUCCUUUACAUUUAAAUUAAAUUGUCUACUAUUCUCUUCAAAUGUAAAAUGUAAGGUAAUGAAUUGUAGCAAUAUCGCAUAUGAAUCAACUGUAGCGAUAUCGCAGAUCACAAACAGCAAAUUGGACUAAAAGGACUAAUAAAAGGCAAAAUGUGAAACUCAAUCAAUUGCAAAUCACAAACAGCAAAUUGGAAUAUCAGGAGGACUAAUAAAAGGGAAAAUGUGAAACUCAAUCAACCCAUCAGCUAUAAUUCACCAUUAACGUUCAAUAAGGCCCAUUAAAACCAAAACAAUACAUUAUUAAUGAACAAAGGCUAAUAAAUGAAAUGCCCUUUCAAUAGGCUUCACCAUGAGUAUUGUUGAACUUAAUCAAUGCAUUCAUGAGAGUAUUUAAAUAAAAGAAAUUAAACAAAUUACCAUAUAAUCUAUGCACAUUUGUCUAAUCGAAUGACACACUUCAGAAUCUCCAUACACCUGAUCUGCAACAGCACGGAAGAGACAAUUCCCAUCCUCCAACAUUCUUUUGACUUCUAAUCCUUUAGACCGCCUUAUGUCAAUCUCAAACUGACGUUCUCUUUCCUGAAAUAGAUGCAACACGCCUUGUAUCAUCAAAGUAUAGGCUACAACCUCAAACAACAUUUAUGACAAUGUGCUAACCAUUGUUUGACCACAAGACAAAACACUCCGCAACAAUUUUUAUCAAAACACUGAAGUCCAGCCAGAAUAUAAAUCAAAAUUUUCACCAUAGUAACUUGGCAAAUACCAUGCCCCGAAAAAAAGAAAACAGGCUUAACUUUACCGUUAAGCCAAAGCCAGCUACCAUGCCCAAAAGAAAAAUAUAAAAAAAAAAUGAAUGAAGCUCAUAAAUAAUCAUAUAGAGGAAUAACAUAUAUUACAACCAUAAAAAACACUUCAAUCUGUAGCGUGGAAGUUAUUUCGUUCACAGACAGAACAACUUAUUCCAUACGAUGAAACAAUCCAUCACAUAUUUAGUAGCAGGAACUCACCAAAUCAUCAUAGGAGUAAACAAAGCAAGGGUUCUGCUCAUCAGCACUAUUAUACCCCUCACUAUCAACAUGAGACCUAGGAGAGGAAGGCCGAGACGCUGAUGGUGAAGUCCUUGUAGAAACAAUAGGCCAAGCAGCUGCUCUUCUGGAUGAUCCAAUUCGCACAGAAUUUGAACUCCCUGAUACAAAUCUCCUCGAGUUUGAGUUUGUAUUUGAAUUUGUUGCCAGAGGCUUUGGAGGUGGCACAGGAGGGGGUGGUGGUUGUGCACUUCCACUGCCAACCCCAGAAGAAUCGCCGCUUGAACUUUCACUCUCAGCUGCAGGUCUCUCCAAUAUCCUCAACCCACCCAAUCCUUUUAUCAAGUCCCCUGAUCCAACACACUCAGCAUUAACCAAUUUCUCAUUAUCCACAAUAUCAUCACUCAAACUCUCAUUCCUAUCACCAUGUAAACCUUCUAUCAAAAGCUCAUCGCUUUUAGAUGCCUUGUUGUCACUACUACCGCAAUACUCCAAUAACUCAUCAACAACUACAAGUUCCUGUGCCUCAUCACCAAUUUCAUCAUCUUUCAGAGCUGAAACGACCUGAGUCGUAGCUGUAACCGGUGUCUCCUGCCGAGCAGCCGAAGAGGACCCCGCUCGGCUCUGGUUUGAAGAAGAAGAACCGCUGCCUCGUUGAACCAAAAUCCGAGUCAUUGGUUUCAAUUUUUAUUAUUCUCGGUUACUGAAAUCCAAACACCAAUUCUCGACUCCAAAUGACCAAAAAAUUAGACACUACAAAAGACCCCAGUAAUCAUGGCUUUGUCGCGCGUUCUUGCCUUGGGCGCAGUGGCACCAAUUCCUUGGCUGAAGGAAUUCUUCCAGCCCAGUGCGUUCAGCUCCUCGUUCUCACAAAACAAUCUCUGCAUUCCCCUAACAAUUCUCAUGAGAGCCAGACCUCCAACUUUUAAACAAUAAUAACCUUCUCUUAAGUACUCGAAUUUUACCCGGAAAAAGAAAUCUCAAAAUUCACCUUCAAAAGCUCAAG
rnacentral:misc_RNA from 1 species